UGCUUUCAAGCUGUCACCGUUCAGUCUUGGGGUGGUUCCACUUCCAUACCAGAUUCCAAGGCCUGGUAUCUUGAUCACCAGGCCCUUCUCAGCUAUCGAUUAUUAUUUCCUCACCUUUGAUAAAGUUUCAGCCUUGAAAUUUCUUAGCUCUCUCCCACCAUGAACGAUCUUCUAUCGGAUUCAUUUGAGAUCCCUCGCGAGCAAGGUAAUGGUGGUGGAGAUAUUGAGCUAGGUGCGAAUGCAAUGAAUUCAACAGAUACGGGCUUGGAUAACUCUCUUCAAAAAGGUUCAGGAGCUUGAUAAGCAAUAUGCAAAGCUGGAUAAGCUUCUAAAACAGCUCCAGGGUGCCCAUGAGGAAUCCAAAGCUGUAACCAAGGCUCCUUCCAUGAAAAGUUAGUCCAACCUAU